rnacentral:lncRNA from 1 species
CCUCAUACUCAGGGAUUUGUCUGUUUUGUUCUAGUGUCCAUUUUAACCAACUUUCAUUUCCUCCAGUUCUCCCUCUUUGCCAACCCAAAGCAACAUGGUUUAGCAGCAGCUAAGCUGGAGAAUAUUAAAGAUGGCAGCAACUUCCAUGUGCUCCAACAGGGAUCUGGCCCCACCACACAUCAGUGGCAGGUGUAGACGACAGUGAUUAUAUCAUCUCAUCCCUUCCUAAAAUCACAGCUGUGACAAGGGCCCCACCAAAACGAUGGCAAGUUUUGAAAUAAUGAAGACAAUUUGUUCUUUGGAGGAAAAAUAAGCUGGAAAAUUCUCUUCACAAAAUGACCAACCAGAAAGACUCCGAUUGUUUGUUUAUUACAUCGUAGUGGGGAUUUUGAGUGAUAUGACCCAGGCUGUGUGUGUGUGUGUGUGUUUGUGUGUGUGUGUAACAAUAAAAAGCAAACCAUGUUUUCAAGUUAUAAAAAAGACACAAGGACCUAGAGCCAUGUAGCAGCUCUUCUUCACAGAAUGAAUCUGACUCUUCAUGUACUACUGUAGCUACUUGGGGACCUUGAAAUUAGAAAGCUACUGAAAACUUGGAAGCCAAUGGACAUCGUAGAAGUUUUCCACAACAUUAGAGCAGAAGGCAGACAGUGUGUAUAGCAGACUGAAUGCUAGACUUGAAAUCAGAAGACUUGAAUUCAAGUCCCAUCUUGGUUCCUUGCUAGCCUUGUGACUUAUCAGUUAAAUGAGAUAUGCAUGGACUAGGUAACAUAGGAUUGUACCAUUUGGAAACAAAAAUGGCAGACUGGAGUUUUCAAAACACUUUUUCAUCCUUGCUUGCUUUUUCCUUCCUGUUGAAUUGUUGUCUGAAGACUCUGGCACCUCUAUUUGUGAAAUGGGCUUAGCUUAAAGCUUUCAUUGAAAUCAACUUUGCAGAAUGGCCAAUACCAUAUUGCACCUGAAACAUCUUACCCAUAAGCGGGGUUCCUUAUAUUUCUUUAUUAAACCAGAAGACAAAUGGAAGUCUUGUAUAAUUCCAAGUAUUUCUAGAACCUAGCAUUCUUUUUUCCCUUCUCCUCAUCCUUGCCCUUUUCACACAUUAUUUAUAGUAUACUCUAGCCAGGGGGCAUCCUACUGAAUGCAUCUUCAAAAUAGAGACAGGGAUUUUAUUGCUAUGAGACUUAAAAAUGGACAAUGAAUUUAUCCAAUUCACCUUUUUUUUUUCAGUAGAAUUUUAACAGUAAGCUUAUUCUCUUAGGUCUACCUGUCUCUUGAAGGAGCUCAUGCUAAACUGGCUUAGCUUUUCUUGAAGUCAGAUAAUACUUGAAGCAAGUACUUGUAACUCAGAUGUGAUAGAAUCAACAUAGUCAUAGAUAACAAAAACAAGAAGAAGGACAAGCAGAAAGAGGAAGAGAAGAAUGAAAAAGAUGGGAAGACCAAGAAAAUAAUAUCAACAAUAAGACAAAAAUACUACUACUUAAUAAAUUAUUAUUC